UCACUUUGAUUUUUUUUUAUAGGAUAUCAGUCUGUUCAAAUUUCACAUGGUAGUGAAUUUCAGUGCAAAAGGCUUCUUGAUGCCAAGUGUAGGUUCUUGGUAGUUGUUGCUUCUUAGUGCUGUUUUCUUUGGAUUAAAUGGUUCUUAGGGAUGCCUCUAAUUGGUAGAGAUUAAGAUGUCGAAACUUGUUCUUACUUAUGGUUUCUUAUGAGUUUUGUGGAUGACUUCAGCUUUUUUUGCUACAUUAUCAUUUGUGGUUCCAAUCUACUCUGUAGAGGUUUUAAUUCUAGUUUGGUUCUUUCAGUCUUUAUUCUCUGCCAUUCGCCUUUAGAAAUUGGUACAUGUAUUUGGUUUAUUAUUAUUUCCAUUUGCUUGUUACUGAUGGGAUUUUUUAAGUUCCUGGAAUGUUCAUGUGUUGCUGGGUUGUGAUUGCAUUAGACUCUGUCAGUCUAUGUCAUAUCUUAGGUGAUUUGAUCCAUUUUGGUUGAUGAAUUUUCUGCCUUGCUUGGAUUUGAUUUGGUCUGUCAUUUUGUGGUUUUGACAACUUUUUUUUUUUUGUUAUUUCUUUGUCUAAGAUUGACUCAAGACGUUUUUAUUUUGACUCGAGAUGGACUGGUAUCUUUUCUAAAACUCGUGAGUGUGGAUUCUUCUUAUAUAAUGUACAAUUCAUGAGUUUUUGGUCCUAGUUAUGAUAUCGUCAUGUUAGUCAGUUUUGGAUCUGCUUUGAAUAACCAUUUUGGUUUUGUUGUUCUGCAGGGGUAUUGGGAAUUUCUGUAUUUAUGCUUUGGUCUAUCUUACAAUUAUUGAUAAAGAGAUCCUGUAAUUAGGCAAUAUCUAUGCUCAAAACGAGUUUAUCAUUUCUUCCCUCAUAUGUUCUCCUUGGCACUUCAAUUUCUUGAUGAUUGGUUCCAUGGUAAUGUCCUAAGUUCUGGGUUUUUUUAUAGUAAAAUAAGAUUGAUUAAAAGAAAAUGGAAAGAAUAAGAUAAGGUGACAUGAAAUCACCCAAAGGAGAAAGUAAAACUACUCAAUAACAAAGUCUCACCUCUACUCAUACAAAUAAAAAAAUCCAAAACACCCACAAUAGAAAGCAAAAAACUCCAAGCCAAAAUAGAAAAUCCUUGUGUCACCAAUCAGAAUCAAAAGUAGCAACAGCCUCAUCCACCCUCAAUCUUCAACUCCAACCUUUCACUCACCUAACAUACAAUGGUUUCCCAAAAUCAUUAACCCCUAUCCAUCUCUCAUACAACUAAGACACCCUACUGAUGAAAACUAGACUCCAUAUUGGCCCUACUCGUUUUCAUGUCCACUAGCUGUCCUGCUUUAUUGGCUUGAUUAGAAUCCAACACGAUUCUCCUCUUAUUAACCUUCUUAUGUUGUCGUAGAUUCUAAAGCAUUUGAAGCUUGACAUGAGAGAUUGAAGUUCCCAUCACAUCUCAAAACUGGUUUUGUGCUGAUUCCCAUUUAAUAAAUCAAUAUCAAAUAAUUGAAUAGCCAUGGUUGGACCUUCGGGAAAGUGCAAGUUCCAUUAUUUUGAGUUUUGCCAUUCUCGUAUGAUUCUCUCUUGGUUAUCAUAUAGUUCUCCUAAUUAUUACUUUACAUACUCAUGGUAUGGAUUCUCAGGAUAUUGAAGUGAUGAAAGGUGACUUGUUUUGAAGGACAACAAGAUAUAAAAGCCAUCCAUACAGGGGUAUUUUAGAGAAUAUGGAUAGCAUCACCUUGGCAUCCCUAGCUCUAUUGGUUAUGUUUUAACAAAGGUGAGCUAAAUUAAUCUGACAAGUAUUUUUCAAUGGUGUGUCUGUGAACUUUUGACAAUGUACUAUUUUGAUGUGAUAUAUAUCCAUUUUCAGAACUAUGUUUUGCAAGUAUAUCAUGUUGUUUUAGGUGAAUUGCCUUGUUCAUGUCAGUAUAAAAAAGGCCAUUUACCAAUUUUGCUCCUGACUAUUUGUGGUUUUGCGGUUUUGAUAAGGGUGGACUGAAUGCCAGACCUAAGCUAUUGAAUUUUGGUAUGAAGUGGCUCCUGCUGGACUGAAACCUGCAUUCCCAUGAUUUUACUAUCACGAUUCGUGAUUCUCAUCUGGGACAAUGUAGUUAUUAUAGUAUAUAAAAUAGGGCAAAAUAGUCAUGGAAAAGCUCUAGAUGGACAUGUUAUCGGAGGAGAAGUCUUGCUCCGCUCUAUCUUGAUUUCAAAUGCAAUGCAAAAUUAACAUUGUCAUUUCACUCUGUCCAAUUUCAAGGAAAGUUAUUGUAUGGGAUGAAAAAUGAUGCAGUUAUUAAGCAAUUGCAUUGCUUGAUCAACUUAGUCAUUCUUCCACAGCUUGUUCACUUACAAUCAGUCUCAUCAUCUAAUCUCAAUCACAACGGUCAAAGUGCUUAAAUCCUGGAAGGCAAUGACUUUGAAAUCCCUUAUUGUGGGUUGCAUUUGUCUUCAGUUAAUUUUGGGAAUCUCUUUUGAUCAGGAUGAUUAGUUAUUUGCAUAUGGUUGCAUCACAAUAAGGACCUUUACUCAUUCCAUUUUUACCGGCAGCAGAAUGGUUAUUGUUUUGUAGAUAUGGUGAAUGGUUAUUGAGAGUGCUGAUAUAGAUAUAGAUGAAUCACUUCUUUUUAUUAUAUUGUAUCAUCAUCAAGACAUGCUCUAUUUAUGUUUUGAUUGGCAGCAGAAUGAUUAUUGCUCUGCACAUUUGUGGAGUUGAAUGGUUUCUGAGGAUUCUGAGAUAUGCUAUACUUUGAGUUUGUGGAUUUUCUCUAAUCUGAUGUUGAGGUAGUUUAAUGUUUAGUCUUGAUUUCUCUUGGAUUGAUCUGGUUUAAUAUCAGUGUUGGAUCCUUGAGUUGGGUUGCUUGUUGUUGAUUGUGAUCUCUGGAAAAAUUUUCUGGUUUAGUAUUUGGGAUUCAGAAGGUUGGUUUUAUUUGUAAGGUGUUCGCAUGUCUAUUCAGGGAUCAAGUUUAAUGCAUAAUAUCUGUGAAAAUUUACAUAGUAUCUCAAACUAUUAAUUGAUUUUUCUGGUGGAAUGGACAACUUUUGGUGCAAGACCUUUCAGGUUGAUUAGAGGUUUUGAAGUAUACCAUUUUCUUUUUGUUAGUUAGACCAACGUUAAUGAUAAUGAAGACUAUACAGAUAAUGACUAUUUUAGAAGGGGGUUUAUAUGGCUACACGAAUCUCUAACUAGUUGGUAUGAUGAUCUUCGUGUGUUCUUCCAUUCAUCAAAUUUUCAUGGCCACACAGAAGAGGGUUUUCAUGGCUAUACAGAUAAUGAUAUUGCAAAGAGGAUUUUUGUGGGUACAGAGAAGUGGGUUUUCAUUGCUAUACAGAUCUUUAACUAAAUUGGUAUUAUGACCUUUGGGUGAUUCUUCCAUUCAUCAAUUUUUCCAGUCGGUAAUCCUUUCCGCCGAUGUUUUGCGCCAAAAGUCUCUAUACAGAUAAUGACUAUCAUGGACGAGGAUUUUUGUGGCUACACAGAUAAUGAAUAUUGCAGAAGAGGGUUUUCAUGGUAUUACAGAUUGUUUUGUGUAGGUAGGGAAUUUAAAAACAACGGGCAGACGAUUAUUUAAUCCAUGCCUCUCAAGUGUGUUAUUUCAUUUUUGAGAUUGGUUGGAAGUUGGGUUUUAUUUGACAUUUCUGCUUUGAUAAGCCAUACUACUUGAGGUAGUUUACUUGAUCAUACAGAUUCUAGCAUUUCCGUAUUUUUUUUGGUAUUAUUAACUAUGGUUUUUUAUAGGAUAUCAGUAUGGACAGUGCACAAGGCUUCUUGAUGCCAAGUGUUGGUUCUUGGUAGUUGCUGCUUCUUAGUGCUGUUUACAUUGGAUUAAAAUGGUUCUAAUGGAUGCCUCUAAAUGGUAGAGAUUCAUUAAAGAUGAUGUUGAAAUUCAUUCUUACUCGUGGUUUUUAUAUGAGCUUUGUGGGAUUCUUUCUGCUUUUUUUGGUGCAGUUCACAUUACCGUUUGUGGUUCCAGUCUGUUCUGCAAAGAACUCCAUCAACUGUGGCAUAUCUUAGGUGAUUUGAUCCAUUUUGAUUCUUGAAUCUUCCAUUUGCUUGGAUUUGAUCCAAUAU